GAUGAACGCUGGCGGCGUGCCUAAUACAUGCAAGUCGAGCGAACGGACGAGAAGCUUGCUUCUCUGAUGUUAGCGGCGGACGGGUGAGUAACACGUGGAUAACCUACCUAUAAGACUGGGAUAACUUCGGGAAACCGGAGCUAAUACCGGAUAAUAUUUUGAACCGCAUGGUUCAAAAGUGAAAGACGGUCUUGCUGUCACUUAUAGAUGGAUCCGCGCUGCAUUAGCUAGUUGGUAAGGUAACGGCUUACCAAGGCAACGAUGCAUAGCCGACCUGAGAGGGUGAUCGGCCACACUGGAACUGAGACACGGUCCAGACUCCUACGGGAGGCAGCAGUAGGGAAUCUUCCGCAGUGGGCGAAAGCCUGACGGAGCAACGCCGCGUGAGUGAUGAAGGUCUUCGGAUCGUAAAACUCUGUUAUUAGGGAAGAACAUAUGUGUAAGUAACUGUGCACAUCUUGACGGUACCGAAUCAGAAAGCCACGGCUAACUACGU
rnacentral:rRNA from 1 species